UGGGCUUUAACUGGCCAGCUGGGGUUUGUACCAAAUCGCACCUAACCCCACUCCCAAAUUCAAGGGUAUCAGGGGUGAGAAGAAUACAGAAAUUUCUUACAAAAGGUCCAAGUCGAAAGGCAAAAGCCCUUGAAAAAGAAUGACCUUCUUAAAUUCUGAUAGACAGCCACUCUUCUUCCAUCUCUAUUUCGAAAGAGGAACAUACAUACAAGAAACAGGUGACACUGCUGGCCACAAGAGCUGGGAUGUGGUCACAGAAACAGGAAAAAUUACAGAGGAAAACAGGAGUCACUCUGGAAUCUCAUCUAGGCGAGCUCUAUUUUGAAAGAAUUAAAAGCAGCCGAGAAAGUAUACUGGCUCUCCAAGGAAAAGAGGCCCUCAAAGCUCGUCUCUAUGUGCAGUGAUUUUAAUGACCCACCAUUAAAUGAUCUGGUCAAAAUGAUUUGACACCGAAAUGAUUAACUGCCCAGCGGAGUCAAGAUCAGGUUUCAGGCCUGCCACAACCACAACUGUGCUCACGAGGGAAGAGCUCAUCUUAAAACAGAUGAAAGAGGGGUGCCUGGGUGGCUCAGUCAGUUAAGGUCCCACUCAGGAUCUACGACGGAUGCUGAAGUCAGUGACAGGAAGCUUGAGGAGAAGCAAGGCCUUUGCACAGUUUCAAAGGAGCUGACCCCCAAGGUAUUUACUACUUACAAAAAGACUAAUUUACCAAUUACAAGAGCAACUUUAGAAUGGAGAAACCCAGGAGACACCUGAAUCAAGCGGUCAAGAUUAUCAUCACCACCAAUAAGGAAAAGGGACAUCAAGUACCACUCACUGGAAAGGAAGCAUCAUCACUUGUGUGGUCUUCUUCCCAAAAUGCAUAGCCUCACAAGCAAAUACUAGAAAAUAUCAGAAAACCCCCAAAUUUAGGAAAUUUCGUUCAACAAAAUAACUGACCGGGGACUCUUCGGUGGCUCAGUCAGUCAAGCGUCUGACUUAGGCUCAGGUCAUGAUGUCACGGUUUGUGAGUUCGAGCCCUGUGUCAGGCUCUGUGCUGACAGCUUUGAGACUGGAACCUGCUUUGGAUUCU